rnacentral:rRNA from 1 species
UACGUAGGGGGCAAGCGUUGUCCGGAAUCAUUGGGCGUAAAGAGCGUGUAGGCGGCUCGGUAAGUCCGCUGUGAAAGUCCAGGGCUCAACCCUGGAAUGCCGGUGGAAACUGUCGAGCUAGAGUCCGGAAGAGGCGAGUGGAAUUCCUGGUGUAGCGGUGGAAUGCGUAGAGAUCAGGAAGAACACCCAUGGCGAAGGCAGCUCUCUGGGCCGGUACUGACGCUGAGACGCGAAAGCGCGGGGAGCGAACGGG